AGAGUAAAACAGUACGUGAAAUUGUUGAAAGGGAAACGAUUGAAAUCAGUGUUACGGCUAGGAAAUCAGUCGCCAGAAUCUGGCGGUGCACUUUCUUAGUCGUAGGUCAACAUCAGUUCGGAGACCUGGAAAAAUCCUUGGGAAGGUAGCUGGCUUGCCAGUGUUAUAGACCAAGGCCAUACAGGGAUCUGGACUGAGGAUCGCAGUACUUACUUGGGGCUUCUCGUAUUCUGUGGCUUUGUAUGCUUGGACUGCUUGCAGGCCAGGUGUCCAAGGUUGCUCUAUGCGGGUGUGUUCACACCAGUACUUAGGAUGUUGACGAAAUGGUUUUAAACGACC
rnacentral:rRNA from 1 species